UACGGAGGAUGCAAGCGUUAUCCGGAAUGAUUGGGCGUAAAGCGUCCGCAGGUGGCAUUUCAAGUCUGCGGUUAAAGGUCGAGGCUCAACCUCGAACAGGCCGUGGAAACUGAAAAGCUAGAGUGUGGUAGGGGCAGAGGGAAUUCCCAGUGUAGCGGUGAAAUGCGUAGAGAUUGGGAAGAACACCGGUGGCGAAAGCGCUCUGCUAGGCCAAGACUGACACUGAGGGACGAAAGCUAGGGGAGCGAAUGGG
rnacentral:rRNA from 1 species